UGAGGAAUUUUGCGCAAUGGGGGAAACCCUGACGCAGCAACGCCGCGUGGGUGAUGAAGGCCUUCGGGUCGUAAAGCCCUGUCGGGCGGGAAGAAAGGGUUGGAGUCGAACAGGCUCUGAUUUUGACGGUACCGCCAGAGGAAGCACCGGCUAACUCCGUGCCAGCAGCCGCGGUAAUACGGAGGGUGCGAGCGUUAUUCGGAAUUACUGGGCGUAAAGCGCGUGCAGGCGGAAGGAGCAGUCUGAUGUGAAAGCCCGGGGCUUAACCCCGGAAGAGCAUUGGAAACCAUCCUUCUUGAGUGCUGGAGAGGAAGGGGGAAUUCCCGGUGUAGAGGUGAAAUUCGUAGAGAUCGGGAGGAAUACCAGUGGCGAAGGCGCCCUUCUGGACAGUCAAACUGAC
rnacentral:rRNA from 1 species